AGCACAGAGGAGAAUAGGGAGGUUCUAUCAGGUGGCCUGCCCCAGGGCUGGAGUACAGUGGCAGGAACAUGGCUCACCGCAGUCUCAACCUCCCAGGCUCAAGCGAUCUUUCCUCCUCAGCCCCUGCUAAAAAACACACUUGAAGCGGGAGACCCAGCACAUGCAGUGUUCAAGAGGAUUCACAAACAGCACACCCUAAACCAGCACAUCAUCCCAAGAUGGAAGGCCUGUACCAAUAAGCAGAUUUUUAACUGGGGUGGGAUAAUAGAGGCACAGCAAUUUGUGCCAUUUAAUUCUUGGUCCCUAUACAUAAUAAAGUGGUCUAUAUGCUAUUUACUGGGUAUUUUAAAAACUCAAAUUUAUCCGAACAAGUACAUGGGUUAUGGUGAAUUUGGAAAGGAAAGCUUUUAUUGCUUUUUUUUCUUCUGAGAAAUUAACUUUGCUUUAUUUGGCCCCACAAUAAACUCUGAGAAAUGUACCAAAAC
rnacentral:lncRNA from 10 species